GNUCAGANNNNNCNNNGGCGGCANNGNNUAACACAUGCAAGUCGGACGGUAGCNCANGAGAGCUUGCUCUNNGGGUGACGAGUGGCGGACGGGUGAGUAAUGUCUGGGAAACUGCCCGAUGGAGGNGGAUAAGUACUCGAAACGGUAGNUAAUNUCGCAUAACGUNGCAAAAACCAAAGGGGGGACCNUCGGNCCUCUCACCCUCGGAUGUGCCCAGAUGGGAUUAGNUAGUAGGCGGGGUAAUGGCCCACCUAGGUAANGAUCCCUAGCUUGUUUGGUNGGAGGACCAGCCCCACCCCCACNGGAACUGAGACACGGUCCAGACUCGUACGGGAGGCAGCAGUGGGGAAUAUUGCACAAUGGGCGCAAGCCUGACGCAGCCAUGCCGCGUGUAUGAAGAAGGCCUUCGGGUUGUAAAGUACUUUCAGCGGGGAGGAAGGCGAUNCGGUUAAUAACCGCGUCGAUUGACGUUACCCGCAGAAGAAGCACCGGCUAACUCCGUGCCAGCAGCCGCGGUAAUACGGAGGGUGCAAGCGUUAAUCGGAAUUACUGGGCGUAAAGCGCACGCAGGCGGUUUGUUAAGUCAGAUGUGAAAUCCCCGGGCUCAACCCGGGAACUGCAUUUGAAACUGGCAGGCUUGAGUAUCGUAGAGGGGGGUAGAAUACCAGGUGUAGCGGUGAAAUGCGUAGAGAUCGGAGGA
rnacentral:rRNA from 2 species